UUCCGGUUGAUCCUGCCGGACCUGACUGCUAUCGGAUUGAUACUAAGCCAUGCGAGUCUUUGUAGUAAUACAAGGCAGACGGCUCAGUAACACGUAGUCAACCUACCCUAUGGACAAGAAUAAUCUCGGGAAACUGGGCAUAAUUCUUGAUAGAUCAUAAUGCCUGGAAUGGUUUAUGGUUAAAAUGAUUCGUCGCCAUAGGAUGGGACUGCGGCCUAUCAGCUUGUUGGUGAGGUAAUGGCCCACCAAGGCGAUUACAGGUACGGGCUCUGAGAGGAGAAGCCCGGAGAUGGGUACUGAGACACGGACCCAGGCCCUAUGGGGCGCAGCAGGCGAGAAAACUUUGCAAUGUGCGAAAGCACGACAAGGUUAAUCCGAGUGAUUUCUGCUAAAGAAAUCUUUUGCCAGUCAUAAAACCACUGGUGAAUAAGGGGUGGGCAAGUUCUGGUGUCAGCCGCCGCGGUAAAACCAGCACCUCAAGUGGUCAGGAUGAUUAUUGGGCCUAAAGCAUCCGUAGCCGGCUUUGUUAGUUUUCGGUUAAAUCCAUGUGCUCAACGCAUGGGCUGCCGAAAAUACUGCAUGGCUAGGGAGUGGGAGAGGUAGACGGUACUCAGUAGGAAGGGGUAAAAUCCUUUGAUCUAUUGAUGACCACCUGUGGCGAAGGCGGUCUACCAGAACACGUUCGACGGUGAGGGAUGAAAGCUGGGGGAGCAAACCGGAUUAGAUACCCGGGUAGUCCCAGCUGUAAACGAUGCAGACUCGAUGAUGCAUUGGCAUAAUAGCCAGUGCAGUGUCGCAGGGAAGCCGUUAAGUCUGCCGCCUGGGAAGUACGUACGCAAGUAUGAAACUUAAAGGAAUUGGCGGGGGAGCACCACAAGGGGUGAAGCCUGCGGUUCAAUUGGAGUCAACGCCGGG
rnacentral:rRNA from 1 species